rnacentral:rRNA from 1 species
UUGGAGGGCAAGUCUGGUGCCAGCAGCCGCGGUAAUUCCAGCUCCAAUAGCGUAUAUUAAAGUUGUUGCAGUUAAAAAGCUCGUAGUUGAACCUUGGGCCUGGCUGGCCGGUCCGCCUCACCGCGUGUACUGGUCCGGCCGGGCCUUUCCUUCUGGGGAACCUCAUGCCCUUCACUGGGCGUGUUGGGGAACCAGGACUUUUACUUUGAAAAAAUUAGAGUGUUCAAAGCAGGC